UACGGGGGGGGCAAGCGUUAUUCAUCGUUAUUAGGCGUAAAGGGUGCGUAGAUGUUUAUCGUUUUUUAUGCUGAAAAGAACAAGAAAAAAUCUUGUGGCUUGGCUUAAUUGCGGUAUAUAGAGUAAGCAAGACGUUGAUAGAAUUCUAGGUGUAAUGAUUAAAUAUUACAAGAUCUAGAGGAAUUCCAAAAGCGAAGGCAAUCUUCGAUUGUUUACAGACAUUGAGGCACGAAAGCAUUGGGAUCAAACGGG
rnacentral:rRNA from 1 species